UGGACCAGUGAUGACAACGGAUGCACAUGAGUCCUAUACAAUGGAUACUACAUUUCUGGAAUGCUGAGGUCCAA